GAUGAACGCUAGCGGCAGGCUUAACACAUGCAAGUCGAGGGGUAUAGUAGCAAUACUAGAGACCGGCGCACGGGUGCGUAACGCGUAUGCAAUCUACCUUUCACAGAGGGAUAGCCCAGAGAAAUUUGGAUUAAUACCUCAUAGUAUAGUAUCUUGGCAUCAAGGAACUAUUAAAGUCACAACGGUGAAAGAUGAGCAUGCGUCCCAUUAGUUAGUUGGUAAGGUAACGGCUUACCAAGACUACGAUGGGUAGGGGUCCUGAGAGGGAGAUCCCCCACACUGGUACUGAGACACGGACCAGACUCCUACGGGAGGCAGCAGUGAGGAAUAUUGGACAAUGGGCGCAAGCCUGAUCCAGCCAUGCCGCGUGCAGGAUGACGGUCCUAUGGAUUGUAAACUGCUUUUGUACAGGAAGAAACACCCCGACGUGUCGGGACUUGACGGUACUGUAAGAAUAAGGAUCGGCUAACUCCGUGCCAGCCGCCGCGGUAA
rnacentral:rRNA from 1 species